GGUAAUGUAAUUUAGCACAAGCAGAGAAAUAAAAGUUUUCCACAUUAUUCAUAACUUGAAAAGUAUGCAUCACAUUACAUUUUCAGAAUCAGCAUACUCCAAAUACAAACAUAUGUCAAAAUCAUACAAAUUGGUCCAAUGGUUCAAAAGAUAGAUCAUAGUCCUUUGUGACCACAGGAAGCAUGGCUUUUCUGCCCAAAACCAGUUCCACAG